rnacentral:rRNA from 1 species
UACAGAGGAGCCAAGCGUUGUCCGGAUUGACUGGGCGUAAAGCGCACGCAGGCGGAUGCGCGCGUGGGGUGUGAAAUCUGGCCGCUUAACGGCCAGGCGCCAUCCCAUACGGCGCGUCUGGAGUGAUGCAGAGGUCGAUGGAAUUGCCGGUGUAGUGGUGAAAUGCGUAGAGAUCGGCAGGAACACCCAGGGGAAAACCAGUCGACUGGGCAUCUACUGACGCUGAGGAGCGAAAGCGUGGGGAGCGAACAGG